rnacentral:rRNA from 1 species
UACGGGGGGUGCGAGCGUUGUCCGGAAUCACUGGGCGUAAAGGGCGCGUAGGCGGUUCGGUAAGUCGGGUGUGAAAACUCUGGGCUCAACCCAGAGCCGCCACCUGAUACUGCUGUGACUAGAGUGCGGUAGGGGAGCGGGGAAUUCCUGGUGUAGCGGUGAAAUGCGCAGAUAUCAGGAGGAACACCAGUGGCGAAGGCGCCGCUCUGGGCCGUGACUGACGCUGAGGAGCGAAAGCGUGGGUAGCAAACAGG